rnacentral:rRNA from 1 species
GACGAACGCUGGCGGCGUGCUUAACACAUGCAAGUCGAACGAGGUCCACUGCGUAGCAAUACAAGGGAAGACCUAGUGGCGAACGGGUGCGUAACACGUGAGGAACUUGUCCCGGUCUCUGGGAUAACAGUUGGAAACGACUGCUAAUACCGGAUGACGUCGGAAUCUCGCAUGGGAUACUGACGAAAGGGUUACUGGAUCGGGAGAGCCUCGCGGCCUAUCAGCUUGUGGUGAGGUAACGGCUCACCAAGGCAUCGACGGGUAGCUGGUCUGAGAGGAUGAUCAGCCACACUGGGACUGAGACACGGCCCAGACUCCUACGGGAGGCAGCAGUGGGGAAUCUUGCGCAAUGGGCGAAAGCCUGACGCAGCAACGCCGCGUGCGGGAAGAAGGCCCUCGGGUUGUAAACCGCUUUCAGUAGGAACGAAAUGACGGUACCUGCAGAAGAAGGUGCGGCCAACUACGUGCCAGCAGCCGCGGUAAU